AACCAGCACCUCAAGUGGUCAGGAUGAUUAUUGGGCCUAAAGCAUCCGUAGCCGGCUCUGUAAGUUUUCGGUUAAAUCUGUACGCUCAACGUACAGGCUGCCGGGAAUACUGCAGAGCUAGGGAGUGGGAGAGGUAGACGGUACUCGGUAGGAAGGGGUAAAAUCCUUUGAUCUAUUGAUGACCACCUGUGGCGAAGGCGGCUCACUGGCUCGAUACUGACGCUGAGGUACGAAAGUGUGGGGAGCAAACAGG
rnacentral:rRNA from 1 species